rnacentral:rRNA from 1 species
GACGAACGCUGGCGGCAUGCCUAACACAUGCAAGUCGAACGCGGCAUGCGGGUCUAGUGGCGCACGGGUGCGUAACGCGUGGGAACCUGCGCGUAGGUUCGGUGUCUCUCACCGAGAGGGGUGCUAUUACAGGGUAAUGUCUUAGGACAUAAGAUUUGUCGCCUCUGGAUGGGCCCGCGUUAGAUUCGCUAGUUCGUCUGGUAAAUGCCUACCCAGGCGACGAUCCAUAGCUGGUCUGAGAGGAUGAUCAGCGACACUGGGAAUGGGACACGUCCCAGACGCCUGCGGGAGGCAGCAGGUGUGAAUAUUGGACACUGGGCGAGAGCCUGAUCCAGCAAUGCCGCGUGAGUGAUGAAGGCGUUAGGGUUGUAAAGCUCUGUUGCCCGGGAUGAUAGUGACAGUACCGGGAGAAUAAGCUCCGGCUAACUCCGUG